rnacentral:tRNA from 1 species
GCCUCGGUAGUUUAACGGUAGAACUCGAGUCUCAUGAGCUCGUAAUUGGGGGUUCAAAUCCCCCCUGAGGCA